UACGUAGGUGGCAAGCGUUGUCCGGAUUUAUUGGGUUUAAAGGGUGCGUAGGCGGUCUAUUAAGUCAGCGGUGAAAUACGGCAGCUUAACUGUCGAGGUGCAAUUGAUACUGCAGGGCUUGAGUACUGAUGAGGUAGGCGGAAUGGACGGUGUAGCGGUGAAAUGCUUAGAGAUUACAUGGAAUACCAAUUGCGAAGGCAGGUUACUACUAAUGGAUUGACGCUGAUGGACGAAAGCGUGGGUAGCGAACAGG
rnacentral:rRNA from 1 species